rnacentral:rRNA from 1 species
GACAGAGGUGCCAAGCGUUAGGCGGAAUCACUGGGCUUAAAGCGUGUGUAGGUGGAUUUGUAAGUACCUUGUGAAAUCCCACGGCUCAACCGUGGAACUGCUCGGUAUACUGCGAAUCUUGAGCCACUUAGGGGCUACCGGAACAAAUGGUGGAGCGGUGAAAUGCGUAGAUAUCGUUUGGAACGCCAACGGUGAAAACAGACAGCUGGGAGUGUGCUGACGCUGAGACACGAAAGCCAGGGGAGCGAACGGG